ACCCAGUACUGGGUCACGGUGGCUCUGGUCCACAUCACCAACCGCACUAUUAAGAGUCCCGUCAGCGGUGCUGCCCAGCUAAGGCAGGCUAGUCCCUACCUGUUUGACACCACGCUACUCCCCAGAAGCGGCCAGCAACAGGUCUGUCUCCUAGGCAGAGUGCGCCCACAGGUCUACACACGCUGCCCCCACCUGAGCAGCAGCUCCACAGUCCCAGUGUCCAGGACCAGCCAAUGGGAACUGGGAUAGCCAGUGCCUAUGUGCAAAAGCCAUGCGGAGCCACUUGCGUGCCUCCUCCUAGGUGCCGGACCUGCUGCUGGCCACUUCCAGGGCGCAGCGCAGUCUGCGAUGUCAGGACAGUCAGGAAGCCUGCCACAGCACCUCCACUGCACUGCUGACCAGGAGCCGUCUGAGGGAUCUUUUUCAGGGUUUCCAAUUGGCUGUCUGUUUCCUGGGCCCCUGCAGCACACCUGCCCCUUCCACCCAGCCAGCAGGAUCUGACCCGGCACCCAAGGCCUGCUCAACAGGCAACAUAUGCUUCACUCCAGCUGAGAAUUCCAGCCAGUCACCUGUUUUUCUUCCACUUCUCUGCAGGUGUAUAAAUGUGCAGCAACCAGAGCAUUGCCCUGGAGUCUUUGAGGGAGUGGAGCAAGUCAAUGUUAACACUGAAGAGCUUCAGCCUUCAAACAAGGUCUUCAACAGUAUUCUGAAUGCCCCCAGGGAGGCCAGGAGAUUGGAGCCAAGAGCCUCAUUGCAUAACUAUUGCAGUUGUCAUUGACCAGGAGUCCAUGUCGGCAGCAUCGAGGGAGCCCUGGAGGAAAGCUUUAGUAAUCAAUCAAGCCCUCAUUUUGGCAAGUCAUAAUUUCUCCCUUAGAGCUUAUGGCAGGUGUUCAAUAAA